GAUGAACGCUGACAGAAUGCUUAACACAUGCAAGUCUUUGGCGAAGCUGUGCUUGCACAGCCUAGCCAAGGCGGACGGGUGAGUAACGCGUAAGGAACUUGCCCUGCAGUCAGGGAUAACAGACGGAAACGACUGAUAAGACCUGGUAAAGUCAGGCGGACUCAUGUCCAGCCUGAUGAAAAGAGAUGCUGCAGGAGAGCCUUGCGUCCUAUUAGCUUGUUGGUGGGGUAACGGCCCACCAAGGCGAUGAUAGGUAGCCGGCCUGAGAGGGUGGACGGCCACAAGGGGACUGAGAUACGGCCCUUACUCCUAGGGGAGGCAGCAGUGGGGAAUAUUGGACAAUGGGGGCAACCCUGAUCCAGCAAUUCUGUGUGCACGAUGAAGGUUUUCGGAUUGUAAAGUGCUUUCAGCAGGGAAGAAAAAAAUGACGGUACCUGCAGAAGAAGCGACGGCUAAAUACGUG
rnacentral:rRNA from 1 species